AUUUAGUUAUUUAUGUUUCACUAUUUUCAGAGACACAAAUUUUGAUCCAACAUAAUAAUUUCAUUCAAGAGAAAGAGCUCUUAAAAAUACAUAAAUAUAGUUUGCAAUUUACUUCAAACUAUUUCCUAAAAAUAAUAUGAUAAUGAAUCUAAAACUUUCCAAAUCUCUAAAUUGUUGCUACUAUCCCCUCCUUGCCAUUAUCAUUCUCUUAUGCACUUGAUAUGUUAUUGAGCUAAUUGACAAAGCUUCAGAAUCACCUUUACAAGCAAAGUAUUGAAAAUGAAAUUGCAAGCAAAGUAUCAGGGAAAACAAGUUAC
rnacentral:lncRNA from 1 species